rnacentral:rRNA from 1 species
UACAGAGGGUGCAAACGUUGUUCGGAAUUACUGGGCGUAAAGAGCGCGCAGGCGGUCGUUCAAGUCGCGUGUGAAAGCCCCCGGCUCAACUGGGGAGGGUCACGCGAUACUGAUCGACUCGAAGGCAGGAGAGGGUAGUGGAAUUCCCGGUGUAGUGGUGAAAUGCGUAGAUAUCGGGAGGAACACCAGUGGCGAAGGCGACUACCUGGCCUGUUCUUGACGCUGAGGCGCGAAAGCUAGGGGAGCAAACGGG